UACGUAGGGGGCAAGCGUUGUCCGGAAUCAUUGGGCGUAAAGCGCGUGUAGGCGGCCAGAAAAGUCCGCUGUGAAAACUCGAGGCUCAACCUCGAGACGCCGGUGGAAACCAUCAGACUAGAGUCCGGAAGAGGAGAGUGGAAUUCCUGGUGUAGCGGUGAAAUGCGCAGAUAUCAGGAAGAACACCCGUGGCUAAGGCGGCUCUCUAGUACGGUACUGACGCUGAGACGCGAAAGCGUGGGGAGCGAACAGG
rnacentral:rRNA from 1 species